rnacentral:rRNA from 1 species
CGAGAGUGACUUCGGUCACGAGUAGAGUGGCGCACGGGUGCGUAACACGUAGCUAAUGUCCCUCCUCGCUGGGGAUAACUUCGGGAAACCGAAGCUAAUACCGAAUGAUCUGUUGUGGUCUGCGGACUACACCGGUAAAGCCUUCGGGCGCGAGGAGAUCAGGCUGCGUCCCAUUAGCUAGUUGGCGGGGUAAUGGCCCACCAAGGCUACGAUGGGUAGCUGGUCUGAGAGGAUGAUCAGCCACACUGGAACUGAAACACGGUCCAGACUCCCACGGGAGGCAGCAGUUGGGAAUAUUGGACAAUGGGGGCAACCCUGAUCCAGCAAUGCCGCGUGAGUGAUGAAGGCUCUCGGGUCGUAAAGCUCUUUAAGCAGGGAAAAAGGGAAACUUGAUGGUACCUGCAGAAUAAGCACCGGCUAACUCUGUGCCAGCAGCCGCGGUAAUACAGAGGGUGCAAGCGUUGUUCGGAAUCAUUGGGCGUAAAGCGCGUGUAGGCGGUCUUCUAAGUCUGGUGUGAAAGCCCAGGGCUUAACCCUGGAAGUGCACUGGAUACUGGGAGACUAGAGGGCGAGAGGGGAAAGCGGAAUUCCUGGUGUAGGGGUGAAAUCCGUAGAUAUCAGGAGGAACAUCGGUGGCGAAGGCGGCUUUCUGGCUCGUUUCUGACGCUCAGACGCGAAAGCGUGGGUAGCAAACAGGAUUAGA